AUACGGAGGGGGCUAGCGUUGUUCGGAAUUACUGGGCGUAAAGCGCGCGUAGGCGGAUUGGUCAGUUAGGGGUGAAAUCCCAGGGCUUAACCCUGGAACUGCCUCUAAUACUGCCAGUCUUGAGUUCGGGAGAGGUGAGUGGAAUUCCUAGUGUAGAGGUGAAAUUCGUAGAUAUUAGGAAGAACACCAGUGGCGAAGGCGGCUCACUGGCCCGAUACUGACGCUGAGGCGCGAAAGCGUGGGGAGCAAACAGGAUUAGAAACCCUAGUAGUCC
rnacentral:rRNA from 1 species